CCGGGGCGAGCGCCCUCCGGCGCCGCCCCUUCCGUUGCCAUGGCAACGGCCGGCUGCCGCGGCUGCGGCCUCGCUGCUUCCCGCCGCCGCCUUCGCGCUGCGGGGCCCCGCGCGGCCCGGGGACCCCCGGCCCGCCCAGCCCGGGGGCGGCCGCCGGCCGGGGCCUCGCCGAGCGGCCGGGCUGCGCCCCGGUCCCGGGUCCGGGGGCCGCGCCGGCAGCGGACGGUCGUCCCUGGCCGUGCCCUGCGCGCGUUGCCCCCUGCAAAGCCCUGUCACGAGGCGAGAGGCUCUUUAAAGAGGAUUUUAAGGCUUAGGAAGCUGCGCUUUACAGGAUGACCCUUCUGAAGCCAGGAGGCAGACGGUAUCAGCAAGUUCAAAACGGGUUUACACAAAUUCAUGGCCAACAGGCCAUGAACAGAUAUGGAAAGGAGAAUGGUUACUGGAAAUACCCAUUAAGAUCUGUAAUUCCGGAUGGCGAGGAAGUUUGAUGUGAAGGGACCACAGAGAGCGGCCAGGCUCGUCUACUCACUCAGAAUAGCAUCUGCUGUAGUCACUGCUGGCGACAGAGUAGGAUUAGAUGGACCAUUGGUCUAACCCAGUAGGGCAUUUCUCAUGUUUUUAAGUGCUAACUGCCAGUGUGGUUAAUUACAUUUUUUGCAAGGGUUGUUAUCUUUGCUUAAAUGCCUCCUGUUUAUGCUUCUAUUUUCAGUGCUGUGUGGAAGGUUUGGUUUAAAACUAUAAAACAGAUAAAAACCCCAUGGUGUUGCAGCAGGCCAAACAAGGAAACUGUGGCGAAUUUGGAAAUAAAGUGGAAUAAUCUCAA